UGUAACACAUCAUGUCUGCAGUGCAAUCACAUGGACUUUGGAGCAUGAAAGAGAAGAAAUGAAGAGAUCUUCCAUAAGAAAAGGCAGUGUUCUUUCCUAUGUAAAUGCAUAUUGUGAUUUGUCAAGGCAGUGCAAGAAUACAUCCCAUAUAUUAAAUGAAACUGACAGAAAAAUUGGAAGUUAUGGGGCCACAAAAGAAAUUUAAGAGAUUUAUUUGCAAACCUAAGAAAUUAGAAGUUACAGUAAAGCAUAGAGACUGUAAAUACAAGGGCAGAUGAGCCAAAGGACACAGUUGAGGAAAAAGACAUGAAUACUAAGCUGUGGAGGGAGGAACACCAAGAAAAGUGAAAAAUGUGAAACCAACAGAAUAUGGAAAACUGCAAUAGAGAGAGAAAAAAAUUUACCUAUAAAAUAAUUUAAGGCAUAUACUUGCCCAUAUCUGUGAGAGCAGCUGCAGAGUCAAUGGCAUCACGACCCACACGGUUUCUCUCCAGGUAUGGUGUUGCAUCACGGCCCUGAGAUAACAAAACAUCGUAGGGUACUUUUCUGUGCAAAUAGGGAGCAUAAAAUCUUUCUGCCAUAAUAAACUGAGACUCUGACAAGUACCUCCACUGCCGGUUUGGGAUACAGAUCUGAAGACUGUUGCAGCCAUUUACUUACUUCUUCUUCUUCCUUUUCUUCUUCAAUAAUAGAUGGGUUUACAAUGGUAUUAUUGUGAGUUUGAUGCAUUUCUUUUUAGUUUGAAGAUCUGUGAAUUUUAUUAUCUGUUAUUUAUUAACAAAUGUGUAAUCUGUGAGAGCCACUAACAACAGUGCACUCACAGCACUAAGAAGGGGUCUUCUAAAAAUUGCUAAGCUCAUGAGUUUUAUUUUUCAUUAGUUUGCUUCAUAUGAAAAACCUGAAGUGUGUAUGAAUAUUAUUAAAAUUAUUUCAACAGGAUAUCUUUACAUCUAUAUUAGACCAAUUA